CCAAUAGCGUAUAUUAAAGUUGUUGCAGUUAAAAAGCUCGUAGUUGAACUUCGGGGUUUACCCAUUGGUCAGGCUUAAUUGUCUGUACUGGUGAGAUAAAUCUCUACCUUCUGAGGAACUUUCAUGCCAUUUAUUUGGUGUGAUGGGAAAUCAGGACUGUUACUUUGAAAAAAUUAGAGUGUUUAAAGCAGGCUAACGUCUGAAUACAUUAGCAUGGAAUAAUGAAAUAGGACGGACUGAUUCUAUUUCGUUGGUUUCUAGGAUCACCGUAAUGAUUAAUAGGGAUAGUUGGGGGCAUUAGUAUUCAAUUGUCAGAGGUGAAAUUCUUGGAUUUAUUGAAGACUAACUACUGCGAAAGCAUUUGCCAAGGAUGUUUUCAUUAAUCAAGAACGAAAGUUAGGGGAUCGAAGACGAUCAGAUACCGUCGUAGUCUUAACCAUAAACUAUGCCGACUAGGGAUCGGAUGAUGUUAAUUUUUUAAUGACUCAUUCGGCGCCUUACG
rnacentral:rRNA from 1 species